rnacentral:misc_RNA from 1 species
CGCACAUUGCGCCCUUUGGUAUUCCGAAGGGCAUGCCUGUCCGAGCGUCAUUAUCACCCCUCAAGCCCCCGUGGCUUGGUGUUGGACGGCUGGCCUUUUAGUUAAGACCCCUCCCAAAGUUAAUGACGGCGGCCUGUUGGACCCCCGGUACACUGAGCUUCUUCAUUGAGCACGUAUCGGUCUUAGCGGUUGGCAGGUUCCGGUCUUCUUCCCCUUCAAAAGGGAAAUAUCUUCUCAAGGUUGACCUCGGAUCAGGUAGGGAUACCCGCUGAACUUAA